AUUGAACGCUGGCGGCAUGCCUUACACAUGCAAGUCGAACGGUAGCGGGCCUUCGGGUGCCGACGAGUGGCGAACGGGUGAGUAAUAUAUCGGAACGUACCUUUCAGUGGGGGAUAACCCCGUGAAACCGGGGCUAAUACCGGAUAUUCCGACCGGAUCGCAUGACCCGGUCGCGAAAGCUCCGACGGUCUGGGAUGGGCCCGCGGCCUAUCAGCUUGUUGGUGGGGGAACGGCCCACCAAGGCGACGACGGGUAGCUGGUCGGGGAGGACGGCCAGCCACACUGGGACUGGGACACGGCCCAGACUCCUACGGGAGGCAGCAGUGGGGAAUCUUGCGCCAAUGCGCGAAAGCGUGACGCAGCGACGCCGCGUGGGGGAUGAAGGCCCUCGGGUUGUAAACCCCUUUCGCCAGGGACGAAGCGAAAGUGACGGUACCUGGAGAAGAAGUCCCGGCUAACUACGUGCCAGCAGCCGCGGUAA
rnacentral:rRNA from 1 species